GGGGGCGAGUAGUUUCGACGGAGAGUGAGUGAGUACGGGAUAAGCGGGCCGAGAUCCCACCAACUCGUUAAACGGUGGACCGCAAAUAAGCGCCAACAACAACGCGCUUCCUGCGGCUGCCUAAGAUAGCGCCGCACGCCGCUUAGCCUUCUUCCUGCGAAGUCUAGGCGGUGUCAACCCAGCAGGAUAGUCGCACGCUGCAUCCCGGAGGUGUGCGGCGAAGCUUUUCCGGGAUAGCGGCAACGGGAUCCUGCCUAUGGGAGCCCUUGCCGUGAAGGUAAAGCAUAGGCUACGCCCGUAGAAACCUGUGCGAGCUUCUCUUCGGACCAGGGGUGCGACUCCCCUGCGCCUCCACCA
rnacentral:tmRNA from 1 species